rnacentral:rRNA from 1 species
GACGAACGCUGGCGGCGUGCUUAACACAUGCAAGUCGAACGGAAAGGCCCUGCUUUUGUGGGGUGCUCGAGUGGCGAACGGGUGAGUAACACGUGAGUAACCUGCCCUUGACUUUGGGAUAACUUCAGGAAACUGGGGCUAAUACCGGAUAGGAGCUCCUGCUGCAUGGUGGGGGUUGGAAAGUUUCGGCGGUUGGGGAUGGACUCGCGGCUUAUCAGCUUGUUGGUGGGGUAGUGGCUUACCAAGGCUUUGACGGGUAGCCGGCCUGAGAGGGUGACCGGCCACAUUGGGACUGAGAUACGGCCCAGACUCAUACGGGAGGCAGCAGUGGGGAAUAUUGCACAAUGGGCGGAAGCCUGAUGCAGCAACGCCGCGUGCGGGAUGACGGCCUUAGGGUUGUAAACCGCUUUCGCCUGUGACGAAGCGUGAGUGACGGUAAUGGGUAAAGAAGCACCGGCUAACUAAGUG